UUUUUUUGUACUAGGGAUUGAACUCAGGGGCCCUUGACCACUGAGCUACAUCCCCAGCCCUGUUUUAUAUUUUAUUUAGAGACAGAGUGUCACUGAGUUGUUUAUUAGCACCUCACUUUUUGCUGAGGCUAGCUUCGAACUCCUGAUCCUCCUGCCUCAGCCUUCUGAGCUGCUGGCUGCUGGGAUUACAGGUGUGUACCACCACGCCAGCUUGUGUAUCCAUUUUUAGGCCAAUAUGCAUUUAAAAUAUACAUUUAAGUUGCUUUCAAUAAAAUACAAAGUACGGCUGGGGAUGUCGCUCAGUGGUUGAGUGCCCCCGAGUUUAAUUCCCGGUACUCCCCACCAUUUGCACCAUUUACUGUAAAUUCCCCCCUCCCCCUUUCUUUGCUAUUGUAAAAAACAUUGUGAUUAAUAGUCUUAUAGCUGAAUGUGCAUAUUUUGUGUGUUCUUAUGAUAUGUUCCUGGGAAUCACAUGAGUUCCUAAUUUUUAUGUCUUUUUUAAUUCCAUCACCAGAUUGCCUUCUAGUAGUUUGUAACAAUUUACCAUUCUGCACAGCAGUGUGGAUAACAGAGAUUUGAGAGUCAGAGAUUGGAGGGUAGGGGACAAGGAGUAGCCCUUAUACUAUAGAGAUGCCCUCUUUAAACUAAAGUUAAAGAUUGAGGGAAGGUUUAUCAAGUGUUGAGUUGUGCUUUCAGAAGGUGACUAUUUUAGUUAGCUUUUUUUUUGACCCUGUGACUAAAGAACCUGACCAGAGCAACUGUAGAGGAGGAAAAAUUUAUUUGGAGGCUUACGGUUUUGGAGGUCUCAGUCCAUAGACAGCCAGGUUCAUUCCUCGUGGCUCAAGGUGUUCUGAACAUCAUGGUGGAAGAGUAUGGUAGAGGGAAGCAGCUCACAUGGUGAUCAGAAAGCAGAGAAAGAGACUCCACUUCCAGAUACAAAUAUAUACUCCUGAAGUCCACAUCCUACCUGCCUCUAGUUACCACUCAGUUAAUCUCAUCAGGGAUUAAUUCACUGAUUAGUUUAAGGCUCUCACAACCUAACCAUUUCCCGUUUGAACCCUCUUGCAUUGUCUCACACCAUGAGCUUUUGGGAGACACCUCACAUAUAAACCAUAAGAGUGACCCC
rnacentral:lncRNA from 1 species